rnacentral:rRNA from 1 species
UACGUAGGGACCAAGCGUUGUUCGGAUUUACUGGGCGUAAAGGGCGCGUAGGCGGCGUGGUAAGUCACUUGUGAAAUCUCCGAGCUUAACUCGGAACGGUCAAGUGAUACUGCUGUGCUAGAGUGCAGAAGGGGCAAUCGGAAUUCUUGGUGUAGCGGUGAAAUGCGUAGAUAUCAAGAGGAACACCUGAGGUGAAGACGGGUUGCUGGGCUGACACUGACGUGAGGCGCGAAAGCUAGGGUAGCAAACGGGG